rnacentral:rRNA from 1 species
UGAGGAAUAUUGGUCAAUGGGCGUAAGCCUGAACCAGCCAAGUCGCGUGAGGGAUGAAGGUUCUAUGGAUCGUAAACCUCUUUUAUAAGGGAAUAAAGUGCGGGACGUGUCCCGUUUUGUAUGUACCUUAUGAAUAAGGAUCGGCUAACUCCGUGCCAGCAGCCGCGGUAAUACGGAGGAUCCGAGCGUUAUCCGGAUUUAUUGGGUUUAAAGGGAGCGUAGAUGGAUGUUUAAGUCAGUUGUGAAAGUUUGCGGCUCAACCGUAAAAUUGCAGUUGAUACUGGAUAUCUUGAGUGCAGUUGAGGCAGGCGGAAUUCGUGGUGUAGCGGUGAAAUGCUUAGAUAUCACGAAGAACUCCGAUUGCGAAGGCAGCCUGCUAAGCUGCAACUGACAUUGAGGCUCGAAAGUGUGGGUAUCAAACAGGAUUAGAUACCCUGGUAGUCCACACGGUAAACGAUGAAUACUCGCUGUUUGCGAUAUACUGCAAGCGGCCAAGCGAAAGCGUUAAGUAUUCCACCUGGGGAGUACGCCGGCAACGGUGAAACUCAAAGGAAUUGACGGGGGCCCGCACAAGCGGAGGAACAUGUGGUUUAAUUCGAUGAUACGCGAGGAACCUUACCCGGGCUUGAAUUGCAGACGAAUUGCUUGGAAACAGGCAAGCCGCAAGGCGUCUGUGAAGGUGCUGCAUGGUUGUCGUCAGCUCGUGCCGUGAGGUGUCGGCUUAAGUGCCAUAACGAGCGCAACCCUCGUGUCCAGUUACUAGCAGGUUAUGCUGAGGACUCUGGACAGACUGCCAUCGUAAGAUGUGAGGAAGGUGGGGAUGACGUCAAAUCAGCACGGCCCUUACGUCCGGGGCUACACACGUGUUACAAUGGGGGGUACAGCAGGCAGCUACCGGGCGACCGGAUGCCAAUCCCGAAAGCCUCUCUCAGUUCGGACUGGAGUCUGCAACCCGACUUCGUGAAGCUGGAUUCGCUAGUAAUCGCGCAUCAGCCACGGCGCGGUGAAUACGUUCCC